AUAUAUAUAUACAUAUAAAUAUAUAUAUACACAUGUGGCUAUUAAUUGUUGAGGUGUUGUGAAAUCCUCAGGACGAGGUGAGAGAUGGGAAUUGACUCCAAGUUCUCAGAAGGCUGAUAUAUUAUAUUAUAUUAUAUUAUAUUAUAUUAUAUUAUAUUAUAUUAUAUUAUAUUAUAUUAUAUUACAUUAUAAUAUAUUAUGUUAUGCUAUAUUGUGUUAUAUUAUGCUAUAUUGUAUUAUGUUAUAUUAUGUUAUAUUGUUACAUUAUGUUAUACUAUAUUACACUAUAUUAUGUUAUAUUGUGUUUUAUAUAUGAAAAUGGUAUACCAAAACUACACUAAAGAAAGAGAAAGGAGGCAUCAGAAGCUAGACAAGAAAUGACAAUAAAAACCCUAUGACUGACCAGAGUCCCAACACAGCUGGACUGGGAUUGGGCAUUAAUUAAAAACAGUUAACACUGAACCAAUCAAAGAUGCCCCUGUUGGUGAGCAACCUCCAAACUACAAUCUAAGCAAUCAGAUAAUUAUUGUUUACAUUUCUUUUCUGAGGCUUCUCAGAAGAAAAAUCCUGGCAAAGGGAUUUUUCAUAAUAUAUGUCAGUAACAUACACACACACAUAUAUAACUCUGAGCUUCAUAUAAGGUGUUAGCAGUUCUCCUCACAGCUCAGCCCCACAGAACAAUCCUUUCCCCUCCUCAGCCCCACAGAACAAUCCUUUCCCUCUCCUCAGUCCCACAGAACAAUCCUUUCCUCUCCUCAGCCCCACAGAACAAUCCUUUCCUCUCCUCAGUCCCUUUCAAUCCUUUCCCCUCCUCAGUCCCACAGAACAAUCCUUUCCCCUCCUCAGUCCCACAGAACAAUCCUUUCCCCUCCUCAGUCCCUCUCAAUCCUUUCCCCAGUCCCACAGAACAAUCCUUUCCCUCCUCAGUCCCUUUCAAUCCUUUCCUCUCCUCAGCCCCACAGAACAAUCCUUUCCCCUCCUCAGCCCCACAGAACAAUCCUUUCCUCAGUCCCACAGAACAAUCCUUUCCUCUCCUCAGUCCCACAGAACAAUCCUUUCCUCUCCUCAGUCCCACAGAACAAUCCUUUCCUCUCCUCAGCCCCACAGAACAAUCCUUUCCCCUCCUCAGCCCCACAGAACAAUCCUUUCCUCUCCUCAGCCCCACAGAACAAUCCUUUCCUCUCCUCAGUCCCACAGAACAAUCCUUUCCUCACAGUUCAGCCCCACAGAACAAUCCUUUCCUCUCCUCAGCCCCACAGAACAAUCCUUUCCCUCUCCUCAGCC
rnacentral:lncRNA from 1 species